rnacentral:lncRNA from 1 species
GCUAUAUGUUUUAGGAAUUUUUUUUUAUUUUUUAUGGAAAACCUUCUAAUGACCAUCGUACAACUUAUAUGGGAGUAGGUAUGGGUGUUUGUAUGGGUGUUUGUAUAAGAUUUAUAUGGGUAUUUGUAUAAGUUUAUACAGAGUAUGUGUAUUUGUAUGAGAAUUGUAUGUGAGUUUGUAUGAGGGUUUUAAUGACUGUGUGUAUGGGUGUUUGUAUGAGUUUUG